rnacentral:rRNA from 1 species
GAUCAUGGCUCAGAUUGAACCGCUGGCGGCAGGCCUAACACAUGCAAAGUCGAGCGGUAGAGAGAAGCUUGCUUCUCUUGAGAGCGGCGGACGGGUGAGUAAUSCCUAGGAAUACUGCCUGGUAGUGGGGGAUAACGUUCGGAUACGGACGCUAAUACCGCAUACGUCCUACGGGAGAAAGCAGGGGACCUUCGGGCCUUGCGCUAUCAGAUGAGCCUAGGUCGGAUUAGCUAGUUGGUGAGGUAAUGGCUCACCAAGGCGACGAUCCGUAACUGGUCUGAGAGGAUGAUCAGUCACACUGGAACUGAGACACGGUCCAGACUCCUACGGGAGGCAGCAGUGGGGAAUAUUGGACAAUGGGCGAAAGCCUGAUCCAGCCAUGCCGCGUGUGUGAAGAAGGUCUUCGGAUUGUAAAGCACUUUAAGUUGGGAGGAAGGGUUGUAGAUUAAUACUCUGCAAUUUUGACGUUAC